rnacentral:lncRNA from 1 species
GUCCUAUCCUACAGGAAGCUCUUCCUACCCUCCCCCCCAUCAGAUGUCUACGCACCCAUAAUAAUCUCAGUAGGAAAAUUUCAGAUGAAGUGAAAGGGACCCCCCAAAGGGGCUUUGCUCCCCCACUAGACCGAAGAACACCUUCACCCGCGCA